GUUUGGUCCUAGCCUUACUAUCAAGUCUUACUUAAUUUACACAUGCAAGUCUCCGCACCCCGGUGAGAACGCCCAUAAUUUCCUCCUAGGAAAACGGAGCUGGUAUCAGGCCCAACAAGUUAGCCCAUGACACCUAGCCACGCCACACCCUCAAGGGUACUCAGCAGUGAUUAAUAUUAAAAAUUAGCGACAGCUAAACUUAGUUAAAGUAAAGAGGGCUGGCAAAUCUGGUGCCAGCCGCCGCGGCUACACCAAGAAGCCCAAUUUGAUAGUCACCGGCGUAAAGCGUGAUUAAAGCUCAUAAGACACUAGAGUUAAAUUAUAACCAUACUGUGAUAAGUCUGUUAUUUAGAAAACCAGGAACGAAAGUCACUCUAAUAAAAUCUACUUGAACUCACGACAGCUGAGAAACAAACUGAGAUUAGAUACCUCACUAUGCUCAGCCGUAAACUCUUUAAUUACCUACAAAACC
rnacentral:rRNA from 1 species